rnacentral:tRNA from 1 species
GGUGGCUCAGUGGUAAAGUGCUUGCCUUGCAUGCAUGAGGCCCUGGGUUUGAUUCCCAGCACCA